UGUAUCUGAAGCCUGACGAGGAUGAGAACCUCCAGGGGCAAGAGGUUCGACCCGAGCGAAGCGAGAAAACGUUGCGUCAGCAACGGCCCGCAGGGCGAGCCACGCAGUGGCGAGUCAUCCUCUAUCACCGACCA
rnacentral:sRNA from 3 species